rnacentral:sRNA from 1 species
AAAUGCCGGCGCUCUUAAUAGCGUCUUUGAGCGUAACUUU